rnacentral:rRNA from 1 species
GACGAACGCUGGCGGCGCGCCUAACACAUGCAAGUCGAACGAGCGAGAGAGAGCUUGCUUUCUCGAGCGAGUGGCGAACGGGUGAGUAACGCGUGAGGAACCUGCCUCAAAGAGGGGGACAACAGUUGGAAACGACUGCUAAUACCGCAUAAGCCCACGACCCGGCAUCGGGUAGAGGGAAAAGGAGCAAUCCGCUUUGAGAUGGCCUCGCGUCCGAUUAGCUAGUUGGUGAGGUAACGGCCCACCAAGGCGACGAUCGGUAGCCGGACUGAGAGGUUGAACGGCCACAUUGGGACUGAGACACGGCCCAGACUCCUACGGGAGGCAGCAGUGGGGAAUAUUGCCCAAUGGGGGAAACCCUGAUGCAGCGACGCCGCGUGGAGGAAGAAGGUCUUCGGAUUGUAAACUCCUGUUGUUGAGGAAGAUAAUGACGGUACUCAACAAGGAAGUGACGGCUAACUACGUG